GUUUGCCUUAGUAGUACUGUGUCUCUGGGACUUGGCACUUUUUUCCCCCUAUGUGAUAAUGCUUUAAUUCAUCCCUUAUCAUCUCUCUAGACUUUUGGGAAAAAAGAGUCCUGAUUAGUCCAUAACUGUACUUUCUCCACUCCUCCUCUUUAUUUUCAAAACCAAAUCUGAAUCACUGCCAUACUUAAAAAUCUGUUUUGAUUUCAUGUUGCCAAAGUGCAGAUGCCUGGGAUGUCCUUCAAGGCCCUUCACAGUCUUGAGUCUGGACCCAGCUGCCGGUGCUUUAUCCAAGGCUGAAGCACGGAUGUGGUCCUGCCCCAGCCUUGACAGUGCAGCCAAGGACAACAAUCCAGGAACUGUGAUGCAACCAGACAGGAGCCCCUCCAGUCUGGACCAUUCACCCUGAUCUCCUGACCCCUCUUCCAGCCUGUGUGGGUGUGAGAGCAACUUAGCCCUGCUUCAAGUAGCGGCCCAGGCCUUCCCUAGGCAGUCAAAUUCUCCAGAGGAGAUAAAAUCUCUGACAGCUUUUCAUCUCCUGCUCCCUCAGAGUACCUUAUUACAUAGAUAAGAACCCUCUGGGGACUGAGUGAGGCCCUGAAUUGGUCUGCGCUAAGGUCCCAAAGAGUGGGGUGGGGCAAACUUGAAGGGCUUGUGAGGUGCUAGUUAGAAAUUUGAGCUUCCCAUUGCCCACAGUUAGGCUCUGUGGAAGGUUUAAAUUAAAGCAGGGAAAAAAGAAUUUCAUGGGUUUUGAAAGGUUCUCAGAAGCAUGUUAACUGGGGGCACCUGCUGGCCAGGUGAACUAAUGCGGCCUCCGUCAGGCUGACCCCUGAGACAAGGGAAGAGAUCUGG
rnacentral:lncRNA from 1 species